rnacentral:rRNA from 1 species
GUAGUGGGCUUCUCGAACCCAAUUGGCGAAGAUAACACAAACUGUUGCGGGAUUACGGGUGCACUGGUCUGAUGCGCUGUAGUGGCGUGUUGGGCUGUGUAUCCCCUCCAUCCCCGGGUGUAGCCGACAAGACCGGGCCUAUGGUCCGGACACCGUGGCAACACACCGCGAGCACACAGGAUGUGACCCGAAAGAUGGUGAACUAUGCCUGACCAGGUCGAAGUCAGGGGAAACCCUGAUGGAGGACCGCAACAGUUCUGACGUGCAAAUCGAUUGUCAGAGUUGGGCAUAGGGGCGAAAGACCUAGCGAACCAUCUACUCGCUGGUUCCUUCCGAAUCC